AACAAAUCCUCAGUUCUCACAGCCCACGCUGAAAUCAGCCUUUCGGUGAAACCUUCCACCUCAGUGGUUAAGUAAGCUAGCUGGUGAGACUCCAUGACUUCAGCCAGGAGUGGUGUGAGGUCGCGAUGACUUCUGCACACCACGCUGUAAGCCAAAUGUCCAAUCUGCCUAACUGGGAGACGGUGGAGGGAUGACUUCCGCUUUAUUCUGCCCAGCUCAGCCUUCGCCAGAACCGCAAAACACCGCACAGUGGCGUCUCUGAAGCUGGCUUUGUCUCCCGCCUCAUUGUCCAGUUCCGGCUGCGCUCCUGCAUUUGGAGGCUCUUAACGAACUUCACGAAGUCGAAAAGGCAAGAAAAGGGGCACUCAGACCGGACACACUGGUCUCACUCUUCUUACCAGUCCACCCGAGUCCAAGGACCUCCUGCAUCUUGAAUGAAUAAGGAAAGGUUAAUGCGCAGCUGCACCCUGUUGACCCU
rnacentral:lncRNA from 1 species